GACGAGCGCUGGCGGCGUGCUUAACACAUGCAAGUCGAACGGAAAGGCCCUGCUUUUGUGGGGUGCUCGAGUGGCGAACGGGUGAGUAACACGUGAGUAACCUGCCCUUGACUUUGGGAUAACUUCAGGAAACUGGGGCUAAUACCGGAUAGGAGCUCCUGCUGCAUGGUGGGGGUUGGAAAGUUUCGGCGGUUGGGGAUGGACUCGCGGCUUAUCAGCUUGUUGGUGGGGUAGUGGCUUACCAAGGCUUUGACGGGUAGCCGGCCUGGGAGGGUGACCGGCCACAUUGGGACUGAGAGACGGCCCAGACUCCUACGGGAGGCAGCAGUGGGGAAUAUUGCACAAUGGGCGGAAGCCUGAUGCAGCAACGCCGCGUGCGGGAUGACGGCCUUCGGGUUGUAAACCGCUUUCGCCUGUGACGAAGCGUGAGUGACGGUAAUGGGUAAAGAAGCACCGGCUAACUACGUG
rnacentral:rRNA from 1 species